CUUGUUGGUGAGGUAAUGGCCCACCAAGGCGACGACCCGUAGCUGGUCUGAGAGGACGAUCAGCCACACUGGGACUGAGACACGGCCCAGACUCCUACGGGAGGCAGCAGUGGGGAAUCUUGCGCAAUGGGCGAAAGCCUGACGCAGCGACGCCGCGUGCGGGAAGAAGGCCUUCGGGUUGUAAACCGCUUUCAGGAGGGACGAAGCCACUCAGGUUAAUAGCCGAGAGGGUGACGGUACCUCCAGAAGAAGCCCCGGCUAACUACGUGCCAGCAGCCGCGGUAAUACGUAGGGGGCAAGCGUUGUCCGGAUUUAUUGGGCGUAAAGAGCGUGUAGGCGGCCAGAUAAGUCUGCUGUGAAAACUCGAGGCUCAACCUCGAGCUGUCGGCGGAAACUAUUUGGCUAGAGUCCGGAAGAGGAAAGUGGAAUUCCUGGUGUAGCGGUGAAAUGCGCAGAUAUCAGGAAGAACACCCGUGGCGAAGGCGGCUUUCUGGGACGGUACUGACGCUGAGACGCGAAAGCGUGGGGAGCGAACAGGAUUAGAUACCCUGGUAGUCCACGCUGUAAACGAUGGGUGCUAGGUGUGGGCGGUGUCGACUCCGUCCGUGCCGAAGCUAACGCAUUAAGCACCCCGCCUGGGGAGUACGGCCGCAAGGCUAAAACUCAAAGGAAUUGACG
rnacentral:rRNA from 1 species